UAGCAGCACGUAAAUAUUGGAGUUAACACUCUAGCUGAAGUCUCCAGUAUUGAUCGUACUGCU
rnacentral:pre_miRNA from 1 species